CAGCCGCCACGGUAAAACGUAGGUGGCAAGCGUUGUCCGGAAUUAUUGGGCGUAAAGGGCUCGCAGGCGGUUUCUUAAGUCUGAUGUGAAAGCCCCCGGCUCAACCGGGGAGGGUCAUUGGAAACUGGGAAACUUGAGUGCAGAAGAGGAGAGUGGAAUUCCACGUGUAGCGGUGAAAUGCGUAGAGAUGUGGAGGAACACCAGUGGCGAAGGCGACUCUCUGGUCUGUAACUGACGCUGGGGAGCGAAAGCGUGGGGAGCGAACAGGAUUAGAUACCCCGGUAGUCCCUGUCUCUUAUAC
rnacentral:rRNA from 1 species